AUUGAACGCUGGCGGCAGGCCUAACACAUGCAAGUCGAGCGGAUGAAGGGAGCUUGCUCCUGGAUUCAGCGGCGGACGGGUGAGUAAUGCCUAGGAAUCUGCCUGGUAGUGGGGGAUAACGUCCGGAAACGGGCGCUAAUACCGCAUACGUCCUGAGGGAGAAAGUGGGGGAUCUUCGGACCUCACGCUAUCAGAUGAGCCUAGGUCGGAUUAGCUAGUUGGUGGGGUAAAGGCCUACCAAGGCGACGAUCCGUAACUGGUCUGAGAGGAUGAUCAGUCACACUGGAACUGAGACACGGUCCAGACUCCUACGGGAGGCAGCAGUGGGGAAUAUUAGACAAUAGGCGAAAGCCUGAUCCAGCCAUGCCGCGUGUGUGAAGAAGGUCUUCGGAUUGUAAAGCACUUUAAGUUGGGAGGAAGGGCAGUAAGUUAAUACCUUGCUGUUUUGACGUUACCAACAGAAUAAGCACCGGCUAACUUCGUG
rnacentral:rRNA from 1 species